CCAUCCUUGGGAUACCACCCUUGUAGUACUGGGACUCUAACCAUAGGCCAUGAAUCUGGUCUUGGGACACUGUCAGGUGGGCAGUUUGACUGGGGCGGUCGCCUCCCAAAAGGUAACGGAGGCGCUCCAAGGUUCUCUCAGUACGGUCGGAAAUCGUACGUAGAGUGUAAAGGCAAAAGAGAGCUUGAUUGCAAGACAUACAGGUCGAGCAAGGAUGAAAAUCGGACUUAGUGAUCCGGUGGUUCUGCG
rnacentral:rRNA from 1 species